UUGAAUUCUCCAUAUUGAAUGAGGUCAUUUUGAAUUCUCCCUUUUGAAGGAGGUCAUUUUGAAUUCUCCCUAUUGAAGGAGGUCAUUUUGAAUUCUCCCUUUUGAAGGAGGUCAUUUUGAAUUCUCCAUAUUGAAUGAGGUCAUUUUGAAUUCUCCCUAUUGAAUGAGGUCAUUUUGAAUUCUCCCUAUUGAAGGAGGUCAUUUUGAAUUCUCCCUAUUGAAUGAGGUCAUUUUGAAUUCUCCAUAUUGAAUGAGUUCAUUUUGAAUUCUCCCUAUUGAAUGAGGUCAUUUUGAAUUCUCCCUAUUGAAUGAGGUCAUUUUGAAUUCUCCCUAUUGAAUGAGGUCAUUUUGAAUUCUCCCUAUUGAAUGAGGUCAUUUUGAAUUCUCCCUAUUGAAUGAGGUCAUUUUGAAUUCUCCCUAUUGAAUGAGGUCAUUUUGAAUUCUCCCUAUUGAAUGAGGUCAUUUUGAAUUCUCCCUAUUGAAUGAGGUCAUUUUGAAUUCUCCAUUUUGAAUGAGGUCAUUUUGAAUUCUCCCUAUUGAAUGAGGUCAUUUUGAAUUCUCCCUAUUGAAUGAGGUCAUUUUGAAUUCUCCCUAUUUGAAUGAAAUAAUCUACAUUUUUAAUUACAAACUUCUUAGCUUUGUAAAACAGCCAAUUGUAUAUGUCCUUUACAAAACUGCAACUAUAUGUCUACAAGACUUGUAAUAAACAUAACAGCAACCCAACAAGCAUUAUCCCCGGGACCACCCAUACGUAGAAUGUAUGCACACAUGACUAAGUCGCUUUGGAU